GAGUUUGAUCGUGGCUCAGGAUGAAUGCUGGCGGCGUGCCUAACACAUGCAAGUCGAGUGGGUUUAGACCCACGGCAAACGGGUGAGUAACACGUAGCAAACGUCCCCCAGACACGGGCAUAACUCGCCGAAAGGUGAGCUAAUUCCCGAUAUGCUCACGCGCUGAAAUGCGCGGGAGGAAAGUUUUUUCGGUCUGGGAGCGGGCUGCGUCCUAUCAGCUAGUUGGUGAGGUAAUGGCUCACCAAGGCUAUGACGGGUAGGGGAUCUGAGAGGAUGUUCCCCCACAGUGGCACUGAGAUACGGGCCACACUCCUACGGGAGGCAGCAGUUGGGAAUCGUUCACAAUGGAGGAAACUCUGACGACGCGACGCCGCGUGGAGGAUUGAAGGCCUUCGGGUCGUAACUCCUUUUUUAGGUAAGAUACUGACGGUACC
rnacentral:rRNA from 1 species